UGAGUUAAGAGUGAUUGGAUGAUUAACCCGUCUUUUACGUUUCAUCACCUUUCUGACAGGGAAACGCCAACCUUUCAUUGUUGUUGUCUAUCAACUGGGUUUCAAUUAGAUCAACAGAAAGAACAAAAUGAUAAUAACUAGUAGAACCCGACGGCGUCGACAACGAUGCCUCAGCCGCCUAGUCUAGUCCUUAUUGGUACAAAUUUGCAUGUAUGGAAUAUCCUUCAAACAUAACAAAUAUGCUUCAGACAGGAAGGUAAUUAUUGACGGAAAACUAUUUCAGACAACUGACCUGCUGUGACCUUGACCCUGUUUGGAUCAAUUCCUAAAUCUAAUCAGUUCAUCUGCUGGUUACGGUGAUGAUUCAUUCCAUAUAAGAUAAAUCAUACCGGAUCUUUUUCCAGCUUUAAUGUGAUCUAGCAACCAAAAAAACCGUGUUAUCCGUGAUUUCGUCUGUCUUGACUAGAGACCCAGUCACAGCUGAAGAGAAGCAGCCCAAUAGCACGAUGCUGCCGUCACCAUGCCUCACUGCGGCUCCAGGACCAACUGGAUACUGACUGGGACUGAAAGCUGCACCGGACUGUACGAUCGUCUGCUGUCUCGAAUGCUGUUCUGUUGGGAGAUGGACAAUCCAUGAGAAAUUAAGGCACGUUUAAUACUUUAGUUUUUUCGGUCUAGAAGAAAGCAAGAAUGCAUGAUCGCACUGGAAGACUGGAGGAUGAAUACAUAUGCCUCACUGACAGAGAAAUGUCACUCUGUUAAUGCAUGUUUGAUGCACAAUAGAUGCUUUGUGGGAGCAUUAGUGACUGCAAUACUAACCAUGCUAAUGAAGUGGGAUGGAGAAUGUUUAUCAUUUAUAAUGAUGAUGAUGAUGAUGAGAAGGCAAACCUUCCAUUGUUUCAAUUAGGGCUGAGAGGUAUACUGGUAUUUAAGGGAAUGCCGGACCGGAAUGAUGCAAUAUGUGAUCAUCCAAAAAAUUCUGAAUUAGAAAAGAGACAAGAGACAAGCA
ensembl:lncRNA